GGGGAUAUGACGAAGUGGUAUCGUGCAUCAUUUGCAUUCUAUCUGCUAAUCAGCAGUGUGUAGAAAAAGCCUUGAUGAAAUCCCGUGUUCGAUCCGCGGUAUCUCCA